GACAGAGGCCUCGAGCGUUAGGCGGAAUCACUGGGCUUAAAGCGUGUGUAGGCGGACCUCUAAGUACCUUGUGAAAUCCCACGGCUCACCCGUGGAACCGCUGGGUAUACUGGGGGUCUUGGGCCACUCAGGGGCGACUGGAACAAGCGGUGGAGCGGUGAAAUGCGUAGAUAUCGCUUGGAACGCCAACGGUGAAAACAGGUCGCUGGGAGUGCGCCGACGCUGAGACACGAAAGCCAGGGGAGCAAACGGG
rnacentral:rRNA from 1 species